AGCAGUCGCCACGGUAAUACGGAGGGUGCAAGCGUUAAUCGGAAUUACUGGGCGUAAAGCGCACGCAGGCGGUUUGUUAAGUCAGAUGUGAAAUCCCCGGGCUCAACCUGGGAACUGCAUCUGAUACUGGCAAGCUUGAGUCUCGUAGAGGGGGGUAGAAUUCCAGGUGUAGCGGUGAAAUGCGUAGAGAUCUGGAGGAAUACCGGUGGCGAAGGCGGCCCCCUGGACGAAGACUGACGCUCAGGUGCGAAAGCGUGGGGAGCAAACAGGAUUAGAUACCCCAGUAGUCCCUGUCUCUUAUAC
rnacentral:rRNA from 1 species